UACGGAGGGUGCAAGCGUUGUCCGGAUUUAUUGGGUUUAAAGGGUGCGUAGGCGGCCCGUUAAGUCAGCGGUGAAAUCUCCGGGCUCAACCCGGAAACUGCCAUUGAUACUAUUGGUCUUGAAUGUUGUUGAGGUGGGCGGAACGGGUCAUGUAGCGGUGAAAUGCAUAGAUAUGACCCGGAACACCGAUUGCGAAGGCAGCCCACUAAGCAACGAUUGACGCUGAGGCACGAAAGCGUGGGGAUCAAACAGG
rnacentral:rRNA from 1 species